ensembl:lncRNA novel transcript, antisense to DSCR3
GAACACCAGCAUCUGCUGCCGCCCUGAAUCAGCGUUAGCAUGUGGAGGCAACCUCAGCCCCCAGUUUUUGAAGAAGGUGAUUCAGAUUCAGACACAGGAAUUAUGGUGACGGUAGAAAUGGACUGGAAGGUUCGUUCCCCUUGCCCACCAAGACUCCAGAGCAGUUUCUUUCAGGGUGGAAACAGUCCCAACCUAGAAAGCUGAUCAGAAGACUCCCACCCACAUACCAGCAAUUGGUAUCUGCAUGGCUACGUACGCAGCUUCCUCUGAAUCCAGAUUUUCGUCUAGACUUUCAUCAGGAAGACAUAAGAUUUAUGGCUCCAGAUAGUACUAAUACCUCGUCCAACAUCACAAGCAGAGGCCUUCAACUGGGGGCCGUGACUACAAAGAGGGACCGUUCACAGACUGGCAACGAACCCAGAACGUAUACACCGAAAUCGUGUGCAGGGUGCUACUGUUUUGGGAGAAGAGCCGUAGCUUCUGUCUCAUCAUGGAGGAGGCGCCUGGCCUGGGAAAGGCCAUAUUGUCAAGUGGGAGGAGGAAGAGGCGCAGCCCCGUGUGGUGUGCGUGCUCAUCAGAGAAGCCAGCACAGACACUGGGACCCACUCGCGUCACCAAGAGCCAACCCCUCUUCAGGGUGAGUAAAGGAAAGAGCUUUCAUUGGAGGAAUGUGAAUACUUUUCAGUUAUCCAGCCCAGAGACACUGAAAGGAGACGGCAGUCCCGUCCUCCCCUUCUCUGGGUUGUGCUCAUCUCUCGAAACUACCUGCUUUUGCCACCAGCAGCUAAGCUAUAAAUUCCCUCAAUCACACCCCAUCCGAGACUACAGCCCGCACCCUAGAGCUUAACAAUGGAGAGCCAAUCGCCCAUCAAUGCCAUUUCUGUAAGCCUAUGAGAAUUCCUGGCAAACAACUUUGUAUCACCCCA